rnacentral:rRNA from 1 species
UACGUAGGGUGCAAGCGUUAAUCUGAAUUACUGGGCGUAAAGCGUGCGCAGGCGGUUUUGUCAGUUUGUCGUGAAAGCCCCGGGCUCAACCUGGGAAUUGCGAUGAAGACUGCAAGGCUUGAAUCUGGCAGAGGGGGGUAGAAUUCCACGUGUAGCAGUGAAAUGCGUAGAGAUGUGGAGGAACACCGAUGGCGAAGGCAGCCCCCUGGGUCAAGAUUGACGCUCAUGCACGAAAGCGUGGGGAGCGAACAGG